AGCGCGGGAGGGGGAGCGCGGGCGCGCGGGCGGCCUCCCGGCUUCCGCUGUGGCGCCGGCCGGCGUGGUUGCCGGGGACGCGCGGGUUGGGGCCCGGCCCUGCGGGCCGCAAGCGGGUCGGAGAGGCGCUUUUCCGGAUAAUAUUCCAACCCCUUAGGUCUUCAUUAUAGGAAUUCCGGAAGGCAGAGCUCGGCAAGCGCCGGCGGGAGAGGCCCCGCGCGGGUCGCGGCGACCCUUCCCGGACAGAAGCUUGCCGAGCCCGCUUUCCGCGGCGUGGGUGACCUGGGGCCUGGGACCGCUCCCUGCGCCCCACGCCCCCCGGGACCUCUUCGUCCCCGCUUCCCACUCGGGGACCACCCUGCGCCCUCGGACCGAAGCGGGCCCUGGGACGCGUUGGCCCAGACCCCGAGGAAACGUCUUCUCGUGGCCCGCUUCGCGCUUUUCGAAGGCGGAGAGUCACUGAGCUGGAAGAUAGCAGUCAUGCGUGGGAGAGAGUUGAGUCCUCUGGUUAUAUAGGAGCUGUACCGGAACAGUACGCUAACUCAGAAAUGACGGAAGAAAACCGCACUUCCACUGCGUCCGACUUUGCACUGUGAAGGACAUUGCUUACCUUUUGGGUAAGGAGGCAAGAUGCUAUUGAUGAAAAAGUUUGGGGUGCCCCAAGCUGGGACCUUCUGAUCCCGGGAGACUGAACGUAAGCAAGCGAGGAGGUGCAGUAGUGUGAGAGGUUGACCAGAAGACCACUUGGGUCAGUGUUCCUGGGGAAGACUUCACAGCUAGAAGGAAUUCUAGGUAGUCACAGAAGAGCGUGUAGGUCAUCUAGAGCUCUAGGAUGGAACGAGCAUGGAAGCAAAAGCCAGCAACGAAAGAAGGAACUGCUAGAAAUGUGACUUGCUCUGGGCAAGACCAGCUGCUGAGUUGUGAAGACACCCCAGCAGCCCUGCGGAGAGGUCCUUGUGGGGAGUAAUCAAAGUCUCCUGUUAAUAGCCAGCAAGGAAUGAAGGCUCCUGCCAACAGCCAUGUGUAUGAACCAUCCCGAGGACAGAUCUUCCAGUCCCAGUCAAAUCUUCCAGUGCCUGCAUACCCAGAACCAGAACUGCCCAGCAAAGCCACUCCCAAGUUGUCGACCCACAGAAACUGUGUGAGAUGAUCAGUGUUUAUUUCUUUAAGCCGUUAAGUUGGGGGGAUGAUCUGUUGUGCAGAAAUAGACAACGAAGACAUUCCCUCACAUAAAAUUGUGCAUCAC